AGUGAACGCUGGCGGUAGGCCUAACACAUGCAAGUCGAACGGCAGCACAGUAAGAGCUUGCUCUUACGGGUGGCGAGUGGCGGACGGGUGAGGAAUACAUCGGAAUCUACUUUUUCGUGGGGGAUAACGUAGGGAAACUUACGCUAAUACCGCAUACGACCUACGGGUGAAAGCAGGGGAUCUUCGGACCUUGCGCGAUUGAAUGAGCCGAUGUCGGAUUAGCUAGUUGGCGGGGUAAAGGCCCACCAAGGCGACGAUCCGUAGCUGGUCUGAGAGGAUGAUCAGCCACACUGGAACUGAGACACGGUCCAGACUCCUACGGGAGGCAGCAGGGGGAAUAUUGGACAAUGGGCGCAAGCCUGAUCCAGCCAUACCGCGUGGGUGAAGAAGGCCUUCGGGUUGUAAAGCCCUUUUGUUGGGAAAGAAAAGCAGCAGGUUAAUACCCCGCUGUUCUGACGGUACCCAAAGAAUAAGCACCGGCUAACUUCGUG
rnacentral:rRNA from 1 species